rnacentral:misc_RNA from 1 species
UUGUUUAAUUUAACUUGUUCUCAGACUUCAAUUUUCUAGGCAGGGUUGGCUAAUUCCGGCAGGCGGGGCCCUCCGCGAACAGAGGGGGCUCCCCGCCAGGCGCCGAAUCCGGGCCGCAGUUACAAAGGGUGGGGAUUGUGCCCGAAGGCGUUAACCCAUUAAUGAUCCUUCCGCAGGUUCACCUACGGAAA